rnacentral:sRNA from 1 species
CUUGUCGGGUCUUCAGGGAGGUGGCCGCGCCGGGCGGAGAGGGCUCACCGGCCCCGCGUCUGUCCCCGCCAGGAUCCUGGUGGACCUGCUGAAGCUGAACGUGGCCCCCCUCGCCGUCUUCCAGAUGCUCAAGUCCAUGUGUGCCGGGCAGAGGCUAGCGAGCGAGCCCCAGGACCCUGCGGCCGUGUCUCUGCCCACGUCGAGCGUGCCCGAGACCCGAGGGAGAAACAAAGGCAGCGCUGCCCUCGGGGGAGCAUUGGCCCUGGCGGAACGCAGCAGCCGCGAAGGAUCCAGCCAGAGGAUGCCACGCCAGCCCAGCGCUACCAGGCUGCCCAAGGGGGGCGGGCCUGGGAAGAGCCCUACGCGGGGCAGCACCUAGGAUGGGGCAGAGACUUGUCACAUCUUUGUCCCCAGCAAAGGCUGCAUGUUAUCUCCUUCGGUUGAUAAUAAACCUUUCUGAGAUGCAGCGGGUCCAGGUCA